GUAAGUAACUGGUCUCUAUCCCACUCCGGGAUCCGCAGGAGAGCUAGGCGCAGGGCCUGGGAUGACCUCAAGGGACGCUGAGACCACAGUGUUGCCCUGAGAAUCCUAGGGCACCUCUGGAGCAGCCAGCAGAAGCUUCCUCCGUCUAACCAGCUUGGGCGGCUGGCAGCAUGGACCCCAGAGGGACGGGCUGAGGGGCAACCCUU
rnacentral:lncRNA from 1 species